rnacentral:rRNA from 1 species
UACAGAGGUGGCAAGCGUUGUUCGGAAUUAUUGGGCGUAAAGAGCGCGCAGGCGGUCGUUCAAGUCGCGUGUGAAAGCCCCCGGCUCAACUGGGGAGGGUCACGCGAUACUGAUCGACUCGAAGGCAGGAGAGGGAAGUGGAAUUCCCGGUGUAGUGGUGAAAUGCGUAGAUAUCGGGAGGAACACCAGUGGCGAAGGCGACUUCCUGGCCUGUUCUUGACGCUGAGGCGCGAAAGCUAGGGGAGCAAACGGG